GUGCUCGCUUUAGCAGCACAUAUACUAAAAUUGGAACGAUACAGAGAUUAGCAUGGCCCCUGCGCAAGGAUGGCACGCAAACUCGUGAAGCGUUCCUUAUUUUU
rnacentral:snRNA from 1 species